rnacentral:rRNA from 1 species
UGGGGAAUAUUGGACAAUGGGCGCAAGCCUGAUCCAGCAAUGCCGCGUGUGUGAAGAAGGCCUGCGGGUUGUAAAGCACUUUCAGUGGGGAAGAAAAGCUUCGGGUGAAUAGCUCGGAGUCUUGACGUUACUCACAGAAGAAGCACCGGCUAACUCCGUGCCAGCAGCCGCGGUAAUACGGAGGGUGCGAGCGUUAAUCGGAAUCACUGGGCGUAAAGCGCACGUAGGUGGCUUGGCCAGUCCGCUGUGAAAGCCCCGGGCUUAACCUGGGAACGGCAGUGGAUACUACCGAGCUAGAGUCUGUGAGAGGGGGGUGGAAUUCCAGGUGUAGCGGUGAAAUGCGUAGAGAUCUGGAGGAACACCAGUGGCGAAGGCGGCCCCCUGGGACAAGACUGACGCUGAGGUGCGAAAGCGUGGGGAGCAAACA